rnacentral:tRNA from 1 species
GCUUCCAUGGCUCAGUCGGUAGAGCGCAUCCUUGGUAAGGAUGAGGUCUCGGGUUCGAUUCCCGAUGGAAGCU